rnacentral:rRNA from 1 species
CAACACGGGAAAACUUACCAGGUCCAGACAUAGGAAGGAUUGACAGAUUGAUAGCUCUUUCUU